AGGGAAACCGAGUCUUAACUGGGCGUUAAGUUGCAGGGUAUAGACCCGAAACCCGGUGAUCUAGCCAUGGGCAGGUUGAAGGUUGGGUAACACUAACUGGAGGACCGAACCGACUAAUGUUGAAAAAUUAGCGGAUGACUUGUGGCUGGGGGUGAAAGGCCAAUCAAACCGGGAGAUAGCUGGUUCUCCCCGAAAGCUAUUUAGGUAGCGCCUCGUGAACUCAUCUUCGGGGGUAGAGCACUGUUUCGGCUAGGGGGUCAUCCCGACUUACCAACCCGAUGCAAACUGCGAAUACCGAAGAAUGUUAUCACGGGAGACACACGGCGGGUGCUAACGUCCGUCGUGAAGAGGGAAACAACCCAGACCGCCAGCUAAGGUCCCAAAGUCACAGUUAAGUGGGAAACGAUGUGGGAAGGCUCAGACAGCCAGGAUGUUGGCUUAGAAGCAGCCAUCAUUUAAAGAAAGCGUAAUAGCUCACUGGUCGAGUCGGCCUGCGCGGAAGAUGUAACGGGGCUAAACUGUGCACCGAAGCUGCGGCAGCGACGCUUAUGCGUUGUUGGGUAGGGGAGCGUUCUGUAAGCCUGCGAAGGUGUCCUGUGAGGGAUGCUGGAGGUAUCAGAAGUGCGAAUGCUGACAUAAGUAACGAUAAUGCGGGUGAAAAGCCCGCUCGCCGGAAGACCAAGGGUUCCUGUCCAACGUUAAUCGGGGCAGGGUGAGUCGACCCCUAAGGCGAGGCCGAAAGGCGUAGUCGAUGGGAAACGGGUUAAUAUUCCCGUACUUGGUGUUACUGCGAAGGGGGGACGGAGAAGGCUAUGUUGGCCGGGCGACGGUUGUCCCGGUUUAAGCGUGUAGGCUGGU
rnacentral:rRNA from 2 species